GUUUUCUACAAUUAAACUAAAACUCUCUUAUCUCAAUUUUUCCAUUUUCCUUUUUGCCAACUCUGUCCUGUCCAAGUGCAGACCGCUCUGUGGCGACUCGACGUAAGUUCACACAGGAAUGACACUUUCAGGAAUAAGACAGUGUGCUAUGAUUCACAUAUGAAGUUCUUCGUAUUCUAAAGUUUUAAUUAACUCUUAUGAACACUUUGGAUUUUUAGUCCUUAUGAACUUGAUUGAGGGGUUAUCGAACAAGACAAUGGUCACUUCCAGCUUUUGACUCAACUUGACUUUUGAUAGAUGCAUAGUUGAGGGCAGCCACUUGGUGGGUUGAGUAAAAGCACAUUAUAAUGUGAUAAGCUUUGGGUGGAUGUUGGUUCAUUUAAUUUUAUUUCUUUAAUAAAAGAUUAAUGUUUUUUUCCAUUGUGUCUUACAGGUAUCCUGUCCAGUCUCCCCACUCUCCCCACUCUCCCCUGUCCUGUCCAAGUGCAGACCGCUCUGUGGCGACUCGACGUAAGUUCACACAGGAAUGACACUUUCAGGAAUAAGACAGUGUGCUAUGAUUCACAUAUGAAGUUCUUCGUAUUCUAAAGUUUUAAUUAACUCUUAUGAACACUUUGGAUUUUUAGUCCUUAUGAACUUGAUUGAGGGGUUAUCGAACAAGACAAUGGUCACUUCCAGCUUUUGACUCAACUUGACUUUUGAUAGAUGCAUAGUUGAGGGCAGCCACUUGGUGGGUUGAGUAAAAGCACAUUAUAAUGUGAUAAGCUUUGGGUGGAUGUUGGUUCAUUUAAUUUUAUUUCUUUAAUAAAAGAUUAAUGUUUUUUUCCAUUGUGUCUUACAGGUAUCCUGUCCAGUCUCCCCAGUCUCCCCACUCUCCCCUAUCAUUUUGGUCGCUCUGUCUUUCCUGUCUCCUCUACCGCUCUGUCUGAUUGAAAAGCCACUCUGUCUUUCUAUCCCCCUUCUAUCCCACUCUGGCUACUGAUACAAUCCUUGAAUAAAUCUUUGAUACCAUUGAAACAAAUCUUUGAUGCCAUUGAAACAAAUCUUUGAUGCCAUUGAAACAAAUCUUUGAUACCAUUGAAACAAAUCAUUGAGGCCUAUUGUAACAAAUCAUUGAGACCUAUUGUAACAAAUCAUUGAGGCCUAUUGUAACAAAUCAUUGAGACCUAUUUUAACAAAUCAUUGAGGCCUAUUGUAACAAAUCAUUGAGACCUAUUGUAGCAAAUCAAAAUUUUUUGAGAAACCUUUUUAUAAAAUCUACCUUUUUUUGAGAAACCAAACUUUUGAAAAGCUGUACAUUUAAUACAACCACUGUUUUGAAAAAAAAUCCCUAAUUUUGCACAAGUCUGAUUGUUGUUCUAGGUUUUCCUUUCCUGUCUGUGGAUCCAGAGUUUCACCAGAAGUGUCAUCAGCACCACCACAUCUGCGUCCCUGAUUUUGAAAGAAAAAAAUAAACACUUUUCAUAUAGAAUAUUUGAGUUACAUAUUAUUUCAAGUACAAAGUUCUAAGAUUUACAAAAUUG